rnacentral:rRNA from 1 species
CAGUCGCCGCGGUAAUACGAGGGGGGCAAGCGUUGUUCGGAAUUAUUGGGCGUAAAGGGCGCGUAGGCGGUUUGACAAGUCUUGUGUGAAAUCUCUGGGCUCAACCCAGAGUCUGCACGGGAAACUGUCGGGCUAGAGGAUGGGAGAGGUGAGUGGAAUUUCCGGUGUAGCGGUGAAAUGCGUAGAUAUCGGAAGGAACACCUGUGGCGAAAGCGGCUCACUGGACCAUACUGACGCUGAGGCGCGAAAGCUAGGGGAGCAAACAGGAUUAGAUACCCCCGUAGUCCCUGUCUCUUAUACC